UACGGGGGGGGCAAGCGUUGUUCGGAAUUACUGGGCGUAAAGGGCUCGUAGGCGGCCAACUAAGUCGGAUGUGAAAUCCCCAGGCUCAACUUGGGAACUGCAUCCGAUACUGGAUGGCUUGAAUUCGGGAGAGGGAUGCAGAAUUCCAGGUGUAGCGGUGAAAUGCGUAGAUAUCUGGAGGAAUACCGGUGGCGAAGGCGGCAUCCUGGACCGAGAUUGACACUGAUGAGCGAAAGCCAGGGGAGCAAACGGG
rnacentral:rRNA from 1 species